CACUUCUCAAUGAGCUCCUUCCUGCCGAAAAGCCGUGGCAGCCUAUGGAUUCGCACGAGAAGGACAUGAACAGCUCAGUACUGGCACACUCACAGCGUGCUUACAUCGGUUGUGAUUAGCCACUACUGUUCUACAAUA
rfam:Colinus virginianus strain Texas jcf7180006227115, whole genome shotgun sequence.